AUACGAGGGGUGCAAGCGUUAAUCGGAAUUACUGGGCGUAAAGCGUUCGUAGGCGGUUCGUUAAGCAAGAUGUGAAAGCCCUGGGCUCAACCUGGGAACUGCAUUUUGAACUGGCAAGCUAGAAUACUGUAGAGGGUGGUGGAAUUUCCAGUGUAGCGGUGAAAUGCGUAGAGAUUGGAAGGAACAUCAGUGGCGAAGGCGGCCACCUGGACAGAUAUUGACGCUGAGGAACGAAAGCGUGGGGAGCGAACAGGAUUAGAAACCCUAGUAGUCC
rnacentral:rRNA from 1 species